UGAGUUUCUAGCACAUGCUUUUGGGGGGGCCUAUUCAAACUAUAGCACUUACCUAGCUAAUUCUACAUCUGAUGUAAACAUUUUAAGUUGCUAUGUAAUAUGGAUUCCAUUUUUAGGCUUUACUGUGCAUAACUUACAUCUAGACUUUAGUAGUUUUUCUUUCACAAGAUGUUGAAAGUUCACAGUAAAUAAAAAACAUUCGCCUAAUUUUUGUAUGUUUAUACUAGAUCAUGCUUUACGAUUAUGGAAUAUCCAGACGGACACUCUGGUGGCAAUAUUUGGAGGCGUAGAAGGGCACAGAGAUGAAGUUCUAAGUGCUGAUUAUGAUCUUUUGGGUGAAAAAAUAAUGUCCUGUGGUAUGGAUCAUUCUCUUAAACUUUGGAGGAUCAAUUCAAAGAGAAUGAUGAAUGCAAUUAAGGAAUCUUAUGAUUAUAAUCCAAAUAAAACUAACAGGCCAUUUAUUUCUCAGAAAAUCCAUUUUCCUGAUUUUUCUACCAGAGACAUACAUAGGAAUUAUGUUGAUUGUGU
rnacentral:lncRNA from 1 species